CUCCCUGUGGCUCAGUUGGUAGAGCAUGGUGUUUGCAACACUAGGGUUGUGGGUUUGAUUCCCACGGGGGGC
rnacentral:tRNA from 1 species